GUUAUUUAUCCAGUAAUGCUCUGUUCUAGCUAUGGCUUUUACAUUCCUGUGUGUAUAUUAAUGCAGUACACACAGUAUGUUGCCAUGCCUGGAGGUUGGCACUUUCAACGAAUCUGAUA
rnacentral:precursor_RNA from 10 species